CCCGCAGGAGGGCUCCUCAGGACCCCUCCGGAGCGGCGAAUAUUCCGAGGCAAGACCUGGUCUCAGGAGUAAGGAUGACGCGGAGAAAGGACAGGUAAUCAGUAGAUUGCAGAGUGAUGUAGUUCCCCCUUUCGUGAAAAGGAGGGAAGGACGCACGCAGGUCUCCAAGGCAUCUUCAAAGGUUUCAAUUCUGGUGCAACAAAUCCAUCGCCGCCCGCCAGCAGGACGGACGUCAUC
rnacentral:lncRNA from 1 species